GCGUAUCCCAUGGGGUCGAAGAGGCCCUUGGGGUAGCCGACGUCGGUGUUGGUGUCGCCCUUGUUGGCACCGGUGAGGGGAUCCUCGUUCAUGGUGCCGGGGGCCUUCAUGUCCUGCCAGCGGCGGACCUCGGCCCAGUUCAUCAUGGCCAUCUGCACGAAGAACAGGGGACCGGCGCCGAGCCAGUAGCCGUCCCACUUGCCGGCAUCGAUCCAGUUGGGGAGGUCGGCCAUGCCGAUCUUGGUGAGGAGCUCGGGGCCGACCAUGCCGGCGAGGCCGAGCAUCGCCCAGCGGCAGUGCAUGAGCUCAGCCUGGACGAACCACUUGAGGUUCUCGGGGUCCGCGCCGAGGUUGAGGGGAUCGAAACCGUAGUCGCAGGGGAGGGUGCCGUCGAGGUGAGCGGGCGCGGGGGAGCCGGGAAGCCAGGUGGGGCGGGCCGCGGCGACCGC
rnacentral:lncRNA from 1 species